GACGAACGCUGGCGGCGUGCUUAACACAUGCAAGUCGAACGGAAAGGCCCUGCUUUUGUGGGGUGCUCGAGUGGCGAACGGGUGAGUAACACGUGAGUAACCUGCCCUUGACUUUGGGAUAACUUCAGGAAACUGGGGCUAAUACCGGAUAUGAGCUCCUGCUGCAUGGUGGGGGUUGGAAAGUUUCGGCGGUUGGGGAUGGACUCGCGGCUUAUCAGCUUGUUGGUGGGGUAGUGGCUUACCAAGGCUUUGACGGGUAGCCGGCCUGAGAGGGUGACCGGCCACAUUGGGACUGAGAUACGGCCCAGACGCCUACGGGAGGCAGAAGUGGGGAAUAUUGCACAAUGGGCGGAAGCCUGAUGCAGCAACGCCGCGUGCGGGAUGACGGCCUUCGGGUUGUAAACCGCUUUCGCCUGUGACGAAGCGUGAGUGACGGUAAUGGGUAAAGAAGCACCGGCUAACUACGUG
rnacentral:rRNA from 1 species